AUGUUUCCACAGACAAUCACAGAGUGUUGCAGCAGCUUCUUGAAAAAACAAACACCCUUUUCAAAACAUUCACAUUUCUUGCCUUCUUCUCUUACGACAUGCACCCCCCUUGUUCUCUUUCUCAUCUUUUCAUUUUCACACCCCUCCCUUCUUCUUACCAACUACUACACCAUUAGUUUCUCAUGCUACCACCAUCAAGAGGUUGGUUCCUUUGGUCCUGCUCCUGUUGGAAGAACUUGA